rnacentral:rRNA from 1 species
CACGUAGGGCGCAAGCGUUGUCCGGAAUUAUUGGGCGUAAAGAGCUCGUAGGUGGUUUGCUGCGUCCGCUGUGAAAACCCAAGGCUUAACCUUGGGCUUGCAGUGGAUACGGGCAGACUAGAGGUAGGUAGGGGAGAAUGGAAUUCCCGGUGUAGCGGUGAAAUGCGUAGAUAUCAGGAGGAACACCUGUGGCGAAAGCGGCUCACUGGACCAUAACUGACGCUGAUGCACGAAAGCUAGGGGAGCAAACAGG